CGCACGCUCCUUAGAUCCGUUUCAUUAUCAAUGUGAAACGCUUGAGUCAUAAGCGUGCAAUAUCAUGGCACCUCCAUACCUUAGCUGAUAUGUGUUUAUCUUUAUUGACCUACACUUGCUUUGGAAUGGGGAACAA
rnacentral:snoRNA from 1 species